GACGAACGCUGGCGGCGUGCUUAACACAUGCAAGUCGAACGGAGUGGCGAACGGGUGAGUAACACGUGGGUGCCCUGCCUUGCACUUCGGGAUAAGCUAGGGAAACUGGGACCAAUACCGGAUAGUGCAGGAUGUGCUCGCGGCCUAUCUGCUUGUGGGUGGGGUAGUGGCCUACCAAGGCGUCGACGGGUAGCCGGCCUGAGUGGGUGUACGGCCACAUUGGGACUGAGAUACGGCCCAGACUCCUACGGGAGGCAGCAGUGGGGAAUAUUGCACAAUGGGCGGAAGCCUGAUGCAGCGACGCCGCGUGGGGGAUGACGGCCUUCGGGUUGUAAACUGCUUUCGGCAGGGACGCGGUACUUGUAUAAGAAGCACCGGCUAACUACGUGCCAGCAGCCGCGGUAAUAC
rnacentral:rRNA from 1 species